CAUUUGUUUGCCUUUUUAAGUAAAACGUAAUUUUGCAGCAGAAGUUUGAAAGUCAUAAUAUUUGAAAAUCAAGCUUGUAUUUUCAAAACAUUGUUUGCGUAAAACCGUGGUUUUGUAAAACGUGGCAGGAUAUAAAUAAAAAAUGCAUCCAAAUCCAAAAAUUAUAAACAAAACAGUCCAGAGAGUCCCCAAAUUACAAAGCUCUCAAAGAAAAAUCUAGAAAAAAAAUUAAUUAGAUUAUUAGCUAAAAAUAGUUUCCAUACUAGUGGUCACCACUGAGCCUCCGUCGCACAAACCCGCCUAUGCCUAAGGAUUACCUGAACAAGUCAAACAAACGAAUGUAAGUUUUCAAAACUCAAUGUGUAACUCAACGGAAACAUACAUGCAUAUAAAUACAGAUUUCUCACAUAACAGAACAGAUACGGACAUAGGCUUUAACAGAAUCAGAUUAUACAGAAUCAUGCAGAUAUGUAAAGUCCUACCCCCAUGCUCUACACACCAUCUCCGACCAUCCCAAAACACCAUGUGGGGUAUAAAACACCCACCCAUCCCUACACACCACAUAGUGUCUAUACGACACUUAUUAGAAUAGAUUGCAGCCAUGCUACCAGUAUAUUGGUGAAAUGUCGCCUCACAGAAUACUUCCUCCACAUAAACAAAUCCCACCCCAUACACAGAUAGAGAUAACAAAUAAACAGAUAUAUCAAAUUCAAAGUGUCCCGCAUGCUCAAAUACAAAUAUUACAUAUGUUUAUACAGAACAACAAAUCACACGUAUUGUAUUAUACAGUACUCAAACCAAUCUAUCAGAAUAACAAAUUUCAUGCAUUACGGUUUGUUUUACCCUUAUCGACCCUAUGGAAGGCCCACAGUCGAUUAGAAUGAUGUGUGUGACCCUAAAAAAAUACUGAAUUUUGUGACCACAUGCUCGUGUCGGCCCACAUGCCCAAAUUGGCCCUUCUCAUAUGGCCCAAACGGCCUAGCCCAAGGCCCAUACGCUCAAAUCGGCCUAGGUCGUGUGACCCACAUGACCACACACUCACCCAUCACACGGCUGUGUGUCGCACACAGCCGAGCACACGCCCGUGUGGAGUCAACAGACCACUUUUUUGGCUUUCACCGAACAUCAUUUUCUCGCAUUUUCGUUACACACCUGAUUUGUUUUUACUGGGAACACAAUCUCAAGACAAUCGGAACCUAAAACAACAUUCCAACACCCAAUAUCAGUAAACAUUCACAAAACUCAAACACCAAUUAUCGAAAAUGAAACCUCACAACAACAUUCAAAGUAUUUGCCCACUUACCGACAAUGAGCCAAAAGUACCCCGCACUCAAAUCGUUGGAGAAGCAUCGAUUGCACCUUGACUUUCCUCUAGACAAGAAUUGACGAGAAUUAACGAGAAUUCCCAUUAACAACAACUAAAAGAAACCGUAAAACUAUACUUAUUCAAACUUUUCGAAACGGACGAAAUAGGGAUUUGCACAAAAUAUUAUGUCAAACGACAAAAGAGAGUAACCUUGAUUUUUAGUUUGAAACAUAAGAGAAGAGGAAUGGAGAAAAAAAAGAAGAUUGUGUAGAAAAAGGGAAGGAAAUAAAAAACUUACGUGAAAAACAAGAGAGGAAUUUUCUUCUUUUUUUUGUUUUGAAAACAAAAUUAACUAACUAAAAUUUGAAAAAAAAAAACUAAAUCCCCUACUAACACUCCCACUAACCACACAAUCCCACCAAAUUUGACACCUCAAUCAACAUCCAACUAGCUCAGAAUUUUAACUCCACCCAAACUCUAUCAGACAACCGAAAUAAAAUUAACAUCCACGCUCACACAAGGAUUCAAACACGAGACCUUCAGUAAGCUAACACCUUACCACUCGAAACAGCAAGCUCAUUCUGAUAGGAUUUGACCAGAAAUAGAAUAUAAGCCAAACUGCCAAGGAAUAGGCUGGGAUAAAAAAUAACAAAAUUUCCAAAAGUGGGACUUGAACUCAAUACCUCAAACACACAAUCAGAACUUAGCCACUGAAUUAGAUACACAUUUAUGACAAAAUUCACAGAAACAAAAUUAAAUAAAUCAGGGCGUUACAUGAAGAAUAAAAAUUAGUCCCAGUUUAGGGACUAAAUUGGAAUUUAAGCAAACAUUGAGUAAAAAUUGAAAUAUGCAAUGUGAAUUUGAAUUGUGUUGUAUUGAUAUAUUUUAAUUGUUUUAAUUUCGUAGCUAACGUCGUACCGGAAUCCUCAACUAAAAAAGGGAAUGAUAAAAUUGACGUCGAAUAGCCCGGAAUCCAUGGUUUGUGUUUCUAUAAUCCGAACUAACUUGUAAAUUAUUGCAUUUUGAAUUAUUGCAUAUGGUAAGCAUUGGAGGUGAGAAUUAAUGUGCUUUAUAAUUUAAUUAAAUUCAUAGUUGAUUGAAUUGGAUUGAUUUGGCAUAUGUUAAGAAUGUAUUGAGUAAUUGAAAUUGAAACGAAUAUAUGUUUAAAUGUGAUAAUGUGCAAAUAUGAGAAUUGGAUAUUGGUUGUAUUUGAGAAGUGAAAUAAAAUCCAAUUAACUGUAUCAAGCUGAGUCGGAUAUAGAUGGCAUGCCAUAGGAUAUGAAGAGUUCAAGGAUUUCUUCGACUUCGAGUUGAUGAGGCACUGGAUGCCAAUUUGCUUCGGUUUAAUCGAUGAGACACUGAGUUUCAAUUUAUAUAGUGCUGGGCGCAGUUAUUACUUUAGAUUUAUCCGAUGAGGCACUAGGUGCCAAACUGGUGUGUUGGUUGGAUCCGUGUAUUUGUCUGAGUCCGAGUCGUGAUAAUAGGGGUAAAUAAAUAAUAAAGUUUUAUAUUUGAUAUUGAAAUGGCAUGGUAUGUGAAAUGGAAACUAGAUAAUGGAUUGAAAAAUGGAAUAUGAAAUUUGUUGUGAACAAAUGAAAUAUAUGAGUUAUGUGCUCAUGAAUUGAAUAUGAAAUGAGUUGUGCCAUUGUAUAAAUGCAAUGUUGAUUGAUAUAUGGAAAGCUAUUUAUAUAGCAAGUGAUGUGAAUUAAGAUAUUUGUUAAAGUCAAAUCAAGUAUGAAAUCAUUUGAAAAAUUGAGUACAACAUGAAAUGAUGUAUUAAUAUGCAUGAAAUUGAAAUGAUGAUAUCUUGUAAUGGUAUGCUUAGUUAAUAGUGUGAUUGAAUAGUUCAAUUUGAGCAUUCAUGUAUUAUUAUGUCUUUAAAUGUUCAGAUUAUAGAAAUAUCACUGAGUUUUACUCAGCAUACAGUUUUGUUUCCCGUGUGCAGGCUAGGUACUUCUCUUUUGAUCGCUGACUCAGCAUCCAACAACAAUCUCGACCUUAAAUGUGGUGAUGUUUACCUUUUGUGAUGGCAUGUACCUAAAAUGUCAUAGUUGAUAGUUAUUUUGUGGAUGGAUUGUAAAUGUAGUUAUAAGUUUAAUGUUGGUUUGAGUAUAUACUAUAUGUUUGUGUUUGAAGCCAUAAUUUGGCAUAUUGUUUUGAAUAAAUGCUUGUUAGGUGUAUGUGAACCUAAGCUUGAUGUUUUAGGUAGUUAUAAACUAGGCUAAAUUGGGUGAUUUCGGUAUGUUUUAAUCUUUGAUUUGAAUGAUGCCUUGUUGAUAGGUUUUGAUGAUAUAAAUGUGGUACCAAUGAGGGUACAUUGGUUAGGAACCUAAGAUAAUUGUUUUGGCAUGUUUGGAGUAUGUUUGAUCGUAUUUCAGAUAGGUUAAUUGAUUGGUUUUUGAGUUGAUUAACGCCCAAGCAAGUAGGAAAUGGUAAACUUGUUGUUUAAGGUACAUUGUAGGUCCACAUGGCUAGACACAUGGGCGUGUGACUUGGCCGUGUGAGACACACCGCUAGGCGACACAGCCGUGUGUCGUCUGAUGAUUUCUUAGGCAGCAAUUUAGCUAGCACAUGGCCGGGCACACGGGCGUGUGGCUUGGUCGUGUAACCCAAAUCAAAAAGUUACACAGGCGCAGACACGGGUUGGGACACGACCGUGUGUCCCUAUUUCGAGAGUUACACGACCUAAGACAUGGGCAUGUGUCUCAGCCAUGUGACCCCUACAGUUGAAUUUUUCUAUCUUUUUCCUCAAUUUUUCAAAUGUUCCUGAUUUAGCCCCAAAUCGUUUCUUAAGUGAUUCUAAGGCCUCGAAGGCUUGAAUAAGGGACGAUAUGUAUGUUUAAUGAUGGAUUUUGUUAUGAUUAUUGAAAUGUUUUGAAAUGAAUGAUUUAGUUUAUGUUUAUUCAGUAAUUCUUCGAAACUUUAUUUCGGCGACGGAUACGGGUCAGGGGUGUUACAUAUUCUCAUCGCACGAAUCACUUGAAUCUGACUUGGAUUUCCUUCUACCUUCAAUAGGACACAAACAAAGAAAUAACCGAACACAGAUUUCAUUUAUUCAAAAAAAAAGUAUUAGAUUUCACUUUUUAACUCAAAUGAAUCAAGUUCAAGAAAAAUAGCCAAAGAACUCCAUCUUUUAUGUGACAUGAAUUUAUGAUUUUUAUCGUUAGAUAAAAGAUGACACUACUUUAAGCACUACGCUUUACAGUACAGCUAACUUAUUUCAAUUAAAUAUCAUUAUAGAAUUCAAACAUUUAUUAAUCUAAUAAAAAUCCCAUGACAAAACACUCUUCUACAAUCACAUUCAGAUGAUUACCUAAAUAAAAAAUACUACUCAAAAACCAAAACGUGAUUUAACCAAACAUAGAAUUAGAAUACUAGAUACCCAAAUAACAAUAUUUGAGUACCGACAUUCAAAUUGAAGCUUUCUGAUGGAAUUUCGGUUACCUUUAGAAGAAAAGUUACACAGCUGAAAAGAUGACCUUAACACCCCUCUCCCACAAACCUGCAAAAAGGAAAAAAUGAAAAAAGUUGAUUCACGGUUUCAUAUAUAUAUUUCUACUAUUACUAAACUACCUUUUUUUUAUAUAAAAAAAUGAACAUAGUGCAAGAAAAUCAAAUUAAACAUGAGAGAAACAAAUGAUAUGAAGUUAUGGAAGAAAAUAAAGAAAAUGGUAAGGUUUUUAAAACCUGUGGAGCGAAGAGAGAACGUCUAAGAGAUGAAAUAUUUCGAAGAAAGCUAGCCAUAUUAUGCAAGGGAAAUGAGCCUUGUUUAGAAGUAUAAGAUAUGGGAAAAGAAGAAGAACAAACUAGUUGUGAUUAGAUGUUACUUAAUUCCAUGGAUUAAAAAGAGAGGAAAGAAAUGGACAGACAAACAGAUAGACACGAAAAAAAUCAGAAAAAAAAAGAAAUUAAAAUGGGAGAAGAGAUAAGUAGAUGAAUCGACUGCAAAUCUGGGGAAAAUUUUAGAAGAUUAGAGAUUCAGAUGGAGAUAGAGAUAACCCUUUUAGCAAAACACAUAUUUGCCAUUUCCAAUUUCAAGACUUUGAACCAGUCUUGUUAGGGUUACUAAAAGAGGCAGAGAGGAAAUCGAAAGGAAUAAGGAAAUCGAAAGGUUUACCUAAGGGAGGACUACUGCUGGCCGAAGACGAAGGAAGCAAGGGAGGUCGGGACUGAGAUUGAGCUGAGUGAGAACUUUUCUAGCAUGAGAAAAUAGGAGGGUAAAAUGGAAAGGAGACCUAUAUUCAAUAGUUAUUUAGUGAAAAAGAAACGGAAUAGGAAUGCCUCUUUCUAUGCUUAAAC
rnacentral:lncRNA from 1 species